CAACAGUUUAGCUAACCAGGAGAAGAACUGUCAGUAGAGGCAGAAGGUAGCAUUACAGAGAGGGGAUUUUUCUGCAGUCAGAAGGUGGAACUCCAGAAGAUGAUUGACAGACAAACCACUUAUGAUGUCACUUCUGAGUUCUGCCCUCCUGAACCUGUCUCUUCCAUCUUGUCAUUGUGAA